UCGCAUCCGCCAAACGGUCAAGCCGUGACGCGGGAGGUUAACUAAUCCUAGCUUUAACCAGCUAAAGCUCCCUGAAGGGGAGUGAAAGUCAGCG
rfam:Rhodoferax antarcticus ANT.BR grfa_new.contig.16_1, whole genome shotgun sequence.